UCCAGACUCCUACGGGAGGCAGCAGUGAGGAAUAUUGGUCAAUGGACGCAAGUCUGAACCAGCCAUGCCGCGUGCAGGAAGACGGCUCUAUGAGUUGUAAACUGCUUUUGUACGAGGGUAAACGCAGAUACGUGUAUCUGUCUGAAAGUAUCGUACGAAUAAGGAUCGGCUAACUCCGUGCCAGCAGCCGCGGUAAUACGGAGGAUGCGAGCGUUAUCCGGAUUUAUUGGGUUUAAAGGGUGCGCAGGCGGAUUUUUAAGUCAGCGGUCAAAUCGUGGGGCUCAACCCCAUCCAGCCGUUGAAACUGGGGAUCUAGAGUGUGCGAGAGGUAUGCGGGAUGCGUGGUGUAGCGGUGAAAUGCAUAGAUAUCACGCAGAACCCCGAUUGCGAAGGCAGCAUACCGGUGCACAACUGACGCUCAGGCACGAAAGCGUGGGUAUCGAACAGGAUUAGAUACCCCAGUA
rnacentral:rRNA from 1 species